rnacentral:rRNA from 1 species
AUUGAACGUUGGCGGCAUGCCUUACACAUGCAAGUCGAACGGUAACAGGUCUUCGGAUGCUGACGAGUGGCGAACGGGUGGGUAAUACAUCGGAACGUGCCCGAUCGUGGGGGAUAACGAAGCGAAAGCUUUGCUAAUACCGCAUAAGAUCUAAGGAUGAAAGCAGGGGACCGCAAGGCCUUGCGCGAACGGAGCGGCCGAUGGCAGAUUAGGUAGUUGGUGGGAUAAAGGCCUACCAAGCCGACGAUCUGUAGCUGGUCUGAGAGGACGACCAGCCACACUGGGACUGAGACACGGCCCAGACUCCUACGGGAGGCAGCAGUGGGGAAUUUUGGACAAUGGGCGAAAGCCUGAUCCAGCAAUGCCGCGUGCAGGAUGAAGGCCUUCGGGUUGUAAACUGCUUUUGUACGGAGCGAAAAGGUUUCCUCUAAUACAGGGGGCUGAUGACGGUACCGUAAGAAUAAGCACCGGCUAACUACGUGCCAGCCGCCGCCGUAA